rnacentral:rRNA from 1 species
CGGCCUACCAGGCGAUUACGGGUAGCCGGCCUGAGAGGGCGACCGGCCACACUGGGACUGAGACACGGCCCAGACUCCUGCGGGAGGCAGCAGUGGGGAAUAUUGCGCAAUGGGCGAAAGCCUGACGCAGCGACGCCGCGUGGGGGAUGACGGCCUUCGGGUUGUAAACCUCUUUUACCACCAACGCAGGCUCCGGGUUCUCCCGGGGUUGACGGUAGGUGGGGAAUAAGGACCGGCUAACUACGUGCCAGCAGCCGCG